rnacentral:lncRNA from 1 species
UUCAAAUUAAGAUUGACAAAAUCUUGUAUAAGAUCAAUAAUGUCUCACGAGGAUCUAAAUAGAUCAGAAGCAGUAUUAUUAGUUAAAAAUGAAUUAUUAGAAUAACUCUAUUUUAAGAAAACUAUUAAUAAUAUCUAAAAAAGUUAGGAAAAUACACUUCAAUCAAAUAAAAAAUUAAGGCCUCUCAUCAAAAUUUUGCUUUAGGCCACCAACAAUAUUGAGCCGCCGAUCAAAUCUAACAAAUUGCAAAGAAACAUACUAUGAAGAGCUAAUUUACAAAAAGAUCUAACAGUUUUGAGGCUGCACCUGCAGUAAAAGUAACAGUUUAAAAGUUAGAAAACAUAAGGAAACUUAUGGAGGGAUAUCUGGCAGUUUUUUAAUAAUAAGGAUAAAAGCACGUCAGAAGAGUUUAUUCAGAGGAAGAUUUAUCAAUUAGAUUGACUUUAUUUGAAUGUUCUUAUAGGAUGGUUAAAUUUUGAAAGGCAAAUGGCGUAAAAUUAAUUUGAUUGAGCCUAUAUCAAUUCAAAACCUCAGUUAGAAUCCCUCUGGCUUGCAAAUAAUUCAUAUAGAUAUACAAUAUGCAUGCAUUUAUCGGAUAGAAUAAGACCAAUUCAGUUCAGCACACCAAUAAAAUUCGAGGAGCAAAUGGGAAUAUAUACAAAUUCAAUUUUCCAAUGCAGAUGUUUUUCUAUGGUGUGACAUAUGGAUUCAUGUGAAUUCAGUAGCAUAUAUAUACACACUAAAUAUAAUCUUGAUCAGAGAAAGUUUACAGAAUCCUAUUCAUCUUCCUUAAUAUGUACUCAAUGCCUUCCUAUUAUUUCAGAAAUAUUUGGACAAAAGAAGCAUUACACAACACUUUUGCAUUAAGAAUUCAAUUUUUAACUAGUUAGCACAAGUACACACCUUUGGGAGUAAUUCAUUUCCAGUAGUGAAGACUUCAUGUUUUUCGAGUUAUUCACAAUAUAGCUGGUAGUGAACCGUAUUUUUAGCCAGAAGAUCAAUGGUCAGUAAAAAUCGCUAACAUGACGCACGCAACUCUUUCCAAAAAUCAUAGCAUAGGGAGAUUUUGAUGUACCCUGAAAUAGAAGGUAAAUAACAGUCAAUUAAAGAAACUGGAGUCGAGAGAAGCAGAAAAAUAAAGUUAAAGCUCAUAGCAAGAUCUUUAGCGAGGAUAAACACCUGCAGGUAUCUUGAAAUUCAGUUCCUUCAAUAGAGUGUUAGUCCGUAUACAAAAGAGCACUGCAUACAUAGAGUUUGUGAAAAUUUAGGAAAACACAUCUAAAAUAUUGUCAUUUGCAUAAAUUUGGCUGGAGAUUGCCUAAGUAGUACAGUUGACAUUUGUGGAGGAUAAUGGUAUACCAUAUGACGGGGUUUUUUCUAAGACCUAAAAAGUAUCACACUUUGGUGAAAAUUCAAAGAGUUAUGCUAAACAUAAGUACAGUAACAGAGAAGACAUUGGAAGAAAUAGAAAGGUGCAUGCAAUACAGUUGAUGGAUGUCGCAGUUAGAAUUUGUUAAUUGAUCUAAGUGGGAGAAUUAUUUACCUAGACUCCAAAUGGCUUAGGAAAUUUGCAGGCCCGAUAAAAUCACAUAUUCCAAACAAUCAAGAACAUAUAUGUCUUGUGGUAAAACAAAAUUACAAAAGAACAUAUGAGAAUCUUCUUUGGUAAAAUAUUUGUGCAGAAAAUUGUAGAAGAGGAUAAACUUUUUAAAGAUUUCCUAAAUGCUUGAAUUAUCAGUGUAAUGAAAGCACAAAAAAAUGACAGUUGAUUUAGCAUGUCUACUAAAGAUUUCAUCUUUCCUCAUUUUAAAAGGUGGCAUGGAAUAAUCUGCGUGAUCUUAGGAAUAUGUUACAGUAGUUCCUUUACCAAAUUUCAGAAUAUGAAGUACACAUCAGUGUAACCCAAAUCAAUAUUGCAUUCACACAUGACAGCAGAGGCCAAAAGACAAAACACAUUAUCGAAAUAGCACUUUCUUAUCUAGCAUAACGACACUUCAAAUACUAACAUUUUAUAAAUCUCAGAACUCAUAGAAAUAAGAAACGUCAAAUUUAAGUAGAUGGAAAUAUCUACUUAGAUCAAUUAAUCUUAUGUGGUUAAGGGGAAAGUUAUUUAUAGGAAUUUAUCAGAAAGUGAUAAAUUGUUCUACCUGAAAAUCUAGAACAUUGAGGCAGCAAAACCAGUGCAUGAUCGUAAAGUAUUUUGUGCAGUAACGAAAAAGCCCAAAAUCCCAAAAUAAGUUGCUACUUCCUAUUCGCAAGUAGAAGUGGGAGGAAAUAAGCAAAUGUAAGAAACAUUAUGUUUGAAUCAAAGAAAUUUAGAAUCUAUGAGAAAGAAUCAAAUCUCAAGUACAGAUACGCAACCAAGGGCGGCUCAAUAUUGUUGGUGGCCUAAAGCAAAAUUUUGAUGAGAGGCCUUAAUUUUUUAUUUGAUUGAAGUGUAUUUUCCUAACUUUUUUAGAUGCAAAAUUAUUAAUAGUUUUCUUAAAAUCGAGUUAUUCUAUUAAUUCAUUUUCAACUAAUAAUACUGCUAAUCUGAUCUAUUUAGAUCCUCGUGAGACUUUAUUAAUCUUAUACAAGAUUUUGUCAAUUUUAAUUUAAAAACAAUUCUUUCCCCGGUUGCAAUUGUUAUAGUAAUACUUUAUUCUAUAAGGAAUAUAGGCAAUAGAAAAAAAUGAAGUCUUGUUAUCUUAUUAAGUAUAUCGAUUAGAGUCUUAUCUUCUACUUGUAAUAUUUCCUUUCACGCUAUAUAAUUUGAAAAAUAAGCCUAAAUUAUCAUAUCGGAGUGGCUAUUAUGUUCUUAUCAAGGCUAAGUCAAUAUUUGUUAGAUUUUUAUCAUCCGAUCUCAAUUUUUACCCACUAAAUAAAAAAUUAAAAAUAUUCUUAUACGCUUCGAAUUAUUCAAACUCAAGGGUCAAUAUCAGUAACAAAUUAAAAUUUUCUUUUCGUUUUGGUAAUUAUUUUUACUUUUCAACUUUAAUUUUGUAUAUAAAAAAUUAAUUCAUAAAAUUACUACUAAUGAAAGAUGGGGCCCCCAAAAUUUGGGGGCCUAAAGCCACAGCUUGGGCUGCUUUACCCUUCAGCCGGCGUUGUACGCAACGAGACAUGCCUUUUACUUUCUUUUUGAUGGUGUGGAUGGUUCUAAUUUCAGCCCGACAUGGGAAUAAUCAGAUACCACAACUGUUGUUUCAGUUUCUAUUUCAGUUGACCGGAGAGGUUUAACCUUAUUUUUGUUCCUCUCACCAAUGUUGGGUUGAAAGAUGUGCUCCUUUUCGACAUAGGAUGAAACGGAUAGACUUACAUGCAUGCUGCUAUAACCUUUCCAGGAUGAUUUUCUCAAUUGAAUGCGAAACAUUCUGUCUGAAAGCUUGUUUUGGACAUGCUUAAUGUCUCAAUUGAGUUGCCUCUGGAAGUAGAAGAUGUCAAUCCUUAAGGCUAAAUUUUAGUUAUUACUUCAUCUCUCAUAGCUUUUGAUUCGAUUUCCAAAAUUUUCAUUUACUUUUUCUUUUCACCUCUUCCGUACCUGUGAUUUAGGGUUAAUUUUUUCAUUUUUCUUUAUUUGUUCUUUUUAUUGCACUAAUUCCUUGGCGAUGAAUUUUGAUGGAUAUCUGCUAAUUAGUUUUCCUCUUAUUUUAAAAAAUUAUGGUUCAUGUUUUACGUGCAUAUCACUAUUUUUACCUCUUUUCUUCACAUAGAUGUAUGAAAAUAAAUACUUAGGUGCAUGGUGUGUUAUGUUAAUUAGACUCAGAGACACACUCAUCCAUAAAUAUAAAAAUGGACAAACUUUUUAAGUUUUUUCCUUCGAUUGUAUCUGCAAAGAAUUAGUACAAUUUUUAUUGCAUGACUUAGUACUAAGCAAAACUUUGUAGCUCUAAAAUAUAAUGUUUAAUAAAGCCCAUACCAGAGACAAUAUGGAACUUACAAGUUACAACUAAGAAAUUUACAAGUUUAAAAAGAAAUCCCAAACUAAAGUUAAAUCAGACUAUAAGGACAAACAAUCAGCAAGAAGUAGAGAACCUGGGUGGGGCUAUUUGUUAGAAAGAAUCCGUUUUUCCUCCUUAACAGGCUAUGCCGGUUAUAUCCUCUGAUUUAGUAGCUUCUUCAAAUAGUGAGGACUGAAGAAAGCAAGACGCAGAGCAGUUCGUAGAAGCAACAAUGGAGCAACCAUCAAAAUAUAUACAAAUACUAACCUGCAUGUAAACAAUCCAACAGGAAAAAUUCAAAAUUUGAAGAAAACCAAAUCAAAUUUAUCAAAAUCAUAUCACCAAAAAAAUGAGUGCAAGAAAGAAAGAAGGAGAAUGAAGUAAAAUCUAGCAGAAAUUUACAAGUACAAUAGUUAGCUUAUACAGUUUCACAAUUUAAAAGAUUGAAGAACAAAAAAAAGCAGAAGAGAGUUGAGAGACUCACUGAAAGAUGAU